GGAAGCCUACGGGACGCAGCAGUGAGGAAUAUUGGUCAGUGGUCGGGAGACUGAACCAGCCAAGCCGCGUGAGGGAGGAAGGUACAGAGUAUCGUAAACCUCUUUUGUCAGGGAACAAAGGCGGGGACGUGUCCCCGGAUGAGUGUACCUGAAGAAAAAGCAUCGGCUAACUCCGUGCCAGCAGCCGCGGUAAUACGGAGGAUGCGAGCGUUAUCCGGAUUUAUUGGGUUUAAAGGGUGCGCAGGCGGUCUGUUAAGUCAGCGGUCAAAGCCCGGGGCUCAACCCCGGCCCGC
rnacentral:rRNA from 1 species